AGAAUCAACGCUGGCGGCGUGCCUAACACAUGCAAGUCGCACGAGAAAGGGUAGCAAUACCUGAGUAUAGUGGCGCACGGGUGAGUAACACGUGAAUUAUCUACCUCCGAGUGGGGAAUAACUGAGAGAAAUCUCAGCUAAUACCGCAUAACACUUACGAGUCAAAGCAGCAAUGCGCUUGGAGAGGAGUUCGCGGCCGAUUAGUUAGUUGGCGGGGUAAUGGCCCACCAAGACGAUGAUCGGUA
rnacentral:rRNA from 1 species